AAGGCUAAAUACUCCCUAGUGACCGAUAGUGAACCAGUACCGUGAGGGAAAGGUGAAAAGCACCCCGGAAGGGGAGUGAAAUAGAUCCUGAAACCGUGUGCCUACAACAAGUCAAAGCUCGUUAAUGAGUGAUGGCGUGCCUUUUGUAGAAUGAACCGGCGAGUUACGAUUGCAUGCGAGGUUAAGUCGAAGAGACGGAGCCGCAGCGAAAGCGAGUCUGAAUAGGGCGAAUGAGUAUGUAGUCGUAGACCCGAAACCAUGUGAUCUACCCAUGUCCAGGUUGAAGGUGCGGUAAAACGCACUGGAGGACCGAACCCACGUACGUUGAAAAGUGCGGGGAUGAGGUGUGGGUAGCGGAGAAAUUCCAAACGAACUUGGAGAUAGCUGGUUCUCUCCGAAAUAGCUUUAGGGCUAGCCUCGGAAUUGAGAAUGAUGGAGGUAGAGCACUGUUUGGACUAG
rnacentral:rRNA from 1 species